AUUGAACGCUGGCGGCAUGCCUUACACAUGCAAGUCGAACGGUAACAGGUCUUCGGAUGCUGACGUGUGGCGAACGGGUGAGUAAUACAUCGGAACGUGCCCGAUCGUGGGGGAUAACGGAGCGAAAGCUUUGCUAAUACCGCAUACGAUCUACGGAUGAAAGCAGGGGAACGCAAGGCCUUGCGCGGACGGAGCGGCCGAUGGCAGAUUAGGUAGUUGGUGGGAUAAAAGGUUACCAAGCCGACGAUCUGUAGCUGGUCUGAGAGGACGACCAGCCACACUGAGACUGAGACACGGCCCAGACUCCUACGGGAGGCAGCAGUGGGAAUUUUGGACAAUGGGCGCAAGCCUGAUCCAGCCAUGCCGCGUGCAGGAUGAAGGCCUUCGGGUUGUAAACUGCUUUUGUACGGAACGAAAAGACUCUUUCUAAUAAAGAGGGUCCAUGACGGUACCGUAAGAAUAAGCACCGGCUAACUACGUGCCAGCCGCCGCCGUAA
rnacentral:rRNA from 1 species